rnacentral:misc_RNA from 1 species
UGGAACUGCACAACACUGCCCCUCCAGACUUAUUUCUGUUUGACUCAACAUAGUUUUUGUUUUUGUUUUGUUGUUGUAAAACCCCAGAUAUGUUUAUAGCCGGAGAUUUUACGAGGGGAGACGAGUACCAGGAGUAAUUCCAGGCCUGGAAGAUGUCAAGGGUCAGGACGACGUUCAGAUGACGAUGAUUUUCUCUUGGGGAAACUCGGAUACACAGGAGAAAUGACAACCAAGACUGACAUUGAAGAGUUCCUUGAAAGUCCACUCGUGACUUGGUUCAAAUCUUGCCUGAAUAACCCAGACAGACUUUCUGAUUAUGAAGACCUAGCUGAUGGAAAUUUAAUCUAUGAAGUUUUUCUAUUGAUUGAUCCUGAGCCGCUUCAUCAUGGCAUCACUACAAGCCUUGGUAAUGCCACAAUCAGGACAAAGAAUUUUGAGUGUAUCACAAAAAACAUUAAAACACUUUAUGAGGAGGAGCUGGGCCAGCUGGUUGUUGUGCUGCCGGAUCCGAUCAAAAUUGGAAGGGAACCGGACAGUAAAGAGGGCAUCGAACAACUCCAGCUUUUGCUUAUGCUUUUGCUUGGCUGUGCUGUUCAAUGUCCAAACAAGCAGCUAUUUAUCGAGCGCAUCAAGGAAUUACCUGUUGAUGCUCAACAUUCACUUGUUGACUGCAUAAAACGGGUAACAGAGAGCCAAGAGAUAGUUCUGGUACCUGAACUGAGUGAAAAUGUACCAGUGACCCUGUUUCUGGGGCAUAUCAGGCGGCUCAUAAAACAAAGAGAUUUUUACUUCCAGGUCUCAUAUGAGGAAAAAAGCAAACAAUCAACUGGAAAUUUAUCAUCCGUACCAGGAUCUGAAUCUCAACACCUUGCUGUAGAACUAGCAGAUUGGAAAUCAAAGUUGAGAAAACUUCGGCAAGAUGUGGAAGAAAAAUCUGAAGCCCUUUCUGAAGCCAAGGAUGAGCUUGAGUAUAAUAAAGCACUUGUUACAAAACUCAAAACUGAGGUAAAUGAAUUAAAAACAGAAGCGAGGGUGGGAAAGGCAUACAGGGACGAGGCGGACGCUUUAAGAGAGAAGGCUGAGCGCGCUGAGAGGCUUGAGACUGAAGUGUGCAAGUACAGGGAGAAACUUUCCGACCUUGAAUAUUACAAAUCGAGAGUGGAGGAGCUGAGGCAGGACAAACGGAUUUUGGAAGAAACUCGAGAGAUGCUAGAAGAGCAGCUGGCUCGUGCAAGAUCAAGAGUUGACUAUACCCUCGAGCUUGAAACAAAGCUCCUCGACCACAAACAGACCAUCAAUGACCUGUCUCUGGAAAGAGAUGCAACGCAGGAACGCCUGCAGCAAUUAUUCGAGGAGAACGCACAACUCACACUUCUCAGCAAGUCUGCUUUGAAUAGUGAUAAGACUUUGUUGGACCCUGAAGAAACAUCGGUUUCAGGAGGGGAAAAUAGCCUUUGCGAACAGUUGUCAAACAAUGCACAAGGGAGGGCAUUGAAAUUAGAACUUGAGAAUAAGCGUCUUGCACAGACACUGGAGUCACUGCAAGAAGCAACUUUACACCAGACAAAUGAGAGGCUUUUGCAACUCGAGAAAGACAAGAAAAAACUCUCUCUUCAGGUCGAAGAGUUAGAAGAGGCCAAAAAGAAAUUGACGUCGCAUAUCAGCGAACUAGAAGCGACAGUCAAAAACGCCCAGAAGGAUACGAAGAAGAUGCAAGACUUGAGGGACUCGCUUCAGACACAGUUGCAGUUGAAGAUCGAAGAGGUUGAGACUGUCCAGAGGGAAAAGGGCAGAAUGGAACUGAGGAUUAAAGAGGCCGAGGAGACUAUCGAAGCGCUUAAAGCUAGGGAGAUACUUGUUGACGAGACGCUCGAACUAAAAGCUAAACUUUCCAAUUCAGACCGGGAAGUAUCUCGACUCAAAAAUGCUCUCGAGGGUAAAGCAGUCAAUAUUGACAGGCUCCAGUGCGAAUUGGACAACAGCUUGAAAGAAAAGUCGCAGAUUUCUAGGCAGUUGGAAGAAGCUAAUAAUCAAGUGUUCAGGUUGGUUGAGAUUGAAAAAUCGUGGAAAGAUUUAAAUUCGAGGUAUGAAGUCGACAAAGCGACCAUUGAAACUUUGCAAAGUGACUUGGUGGCUGAAAAAAUGAUCAAUAGAAAGCUGCGAGAUUCUUUGGAAAGCCCUGGCUUCGCAUCGGAAGAACUGAACGAAGGCUUCAUUGAAAAGAUAUUUUCCAAUGCUGAUAUUCUUGGUGCGGUGAAAGAAAAAUUGGCUGAAAACGAAGGCGAGAGCAAGCUGAAUCAGUCGAAAGAGUUACAGGAGGAGAAUGCGAGGUUGUCUGUUUCUUUGUCAACCCUUCAGUCUCAAGUCCAGUCCCUCACAGCUCAGCACACAGCUCAAAAAUUAGCCAAUUCUCAGCUCGUCGCAGAAAAAGAAGAAAUUAACAAACAUCUGGAGUCGCUGAGAGAGCAGCAUCAGCAGUUGCUGUUGGAUCAACUAACGAUGCAAGGGCUUCAUGAGACACUCACAACACAAUACGAGCAGCUCAGUGUAGGCCGGGAAGCGACGAAAGCUGAGAUCAAAUUGGCCAAAACUGAGAUUCGAAGUCUUAAAGAAAUCAACGAAGGUCUCGAAGCGCGAGUACACUUACUGACGCAAGAAAUCAAACGUCUGUCCUCAGAUGAAAACUGCCUCUCUAAUUUACGAGCAGAGCAUUCUAAACUAAAGGAGGAUUUUAGAAAAUUGUUCACGUCACACGACAAGCUGAAAUCCGAAUACAAAACGGCACAGGAAGAGUACAAAAACAUGAAAGUAGAAGUGAGGAAUUUAACUGUAAGCCAGACUGAACUGCACGCAGAGCUGACGACAAGGAUCGAAACAAACUUGCAUCUCGAGGAUCAGCUUGCUGAUUAUAAAACAGAAAACGAGUGUUUAAAACAAGUGAAAUCAACAUUGGAAGAAGAGAGAAAGUCAUUAAUGAAACAUGUAACCAUUUUAUUGGAUCAAUAUCGUGAACUUCUUCACCAUUCGUUGGACGACAAGGAUCAUUUUCACGCUGAAGAAAAAUUGCUCCGGGACCAAUUUAAUAGCAUAUGCCGACAAAAAGAAAAACUUGAGGAAAAGAUAAUGGAACAAAUCAUAAAUAGCCGUUCUUCAAACAAAAAGAAGAGUUUUGGGGCUAAUUUGGUAAGAAGAGUUAGAAAAGCUGGAUCUGAACUUAUUAAUAAGAGUCGAAGAUCGUGGCAUGAAGACCCCAUGAAGACGAAUUUACAAGGGACUGGUGGUGGUGGUGGUGGAACUGAUUCGGACACAAGCCUUGAAGAUGUCCGAUCCCGUCAAGGACCACGAUGAUAAGAGCUACUCGAAUAUUAAUGACGUACCUAGAAGCUCCACACCUCAGCAAGAUCCAUCUGUUCUUGUCUACAACCGUGUCACUGUGAG